AUGGGGGCGCGGGACUUGGACGCGGGGCUCCGGGGCGGCACGUCGGCGGAUCCGGGUGUGGGGAAGGAGGCAGGGGCACGCGGCUCAUCUGCUCGUCUCACCAGCGAGAGGAUGCAGCGACUGCUGCUGUGGACUGAAGAAAAGAGAGAGAGGUUCAGAGAAGGUUCAGGGGAAGGAAGCAUAGAGAGUCGACGGGCAGGGAACUCCGGCGGGACAGCAGUGAGAUGUAGAAGCAGGGUUCGGACGCCACGGGGGGCUCCAACGACUUGGCGGGGCGGCGGACUUGAUGGAUGGCGACGCGGCAGGAGCUCGGUGCGAGGUCGUGGGGCUCCGGCAGCAGGGAGGCGCGACCAUGGCGAGGCCGGGGUGCAGACAGCGCGGAGACGGCCAGAUCCGGGCGGCGCCGCUCCCGGCAAAGAACUUGGCGGCGGCGGGGUCUCGAUGAUGGGAAUGGCGCAGAUGAGGCCGCUGGCUGCGGGGCUCCUCCUGUUGACGACCCAAGACAGAGGGAGUGAUCAGCGGAGAGAAGAACCAGGGAAAGGAAUGGAAAGGAAAAAAGAGGAGCGCUCAUCUUUCUAA
rnacentral:rRNA from 1 species